CCUAUGGGUGGCAGCAGUGGGGAAUAUUGGACAAUGGGGGGAACCCUGAUCCAGCCAUGCCGCGUGUGUGAAGAAGGCCCUCGGGUUGUAAAGCACUUUCAGUGAGGAAGAACGCCUGGUGGUUAAUACCCAUCAGGAAAGACAUCACUCACAGAAGAAGCACCGGCUAACUCCGUGCCAGCAGCCGCGGUAAUACGGAGGGUGCGAGCGUUAAUCGGAAUUACUGGGCGUAAAGCGCGCGUAGGUGGCUUGAUAAGCCGGUUGUGAAAGCCCCGGGCUCAACCUGGGAACGGCAUCCGGAACUGUCAAGCUAGAGUGCAGGAGAGGAAGGUAGAAUUCCCGGUGUAGCGGUGAAAUGCGUAGAGAUCGGGAGGAAUACCAGUGGCGAAGGCGGCCUUCUGGACUGACACUGACACUGAGGUGCGAAAGCGUGGGUAGCAAACAGGAUUAGAUACCCCGGUAGUC
rnacentral:rRNA from 1 species